UACGUAGGGGGCAAGCGUUGUCCGGAAUCAUUGGGCGUAAAGAGCGUGUAGGCGGUUCGGUAAGUCGGCUGUGAAAGUCCGGGGCUCAACCCUGGGAUGCCGGUCGAUACUGCCGGACUAGAGUUCGGAAGAGGCGAGUGGAAUUCCCGGUGUAGCGGUGAAAUGCGCAGAUAUCGGGAGGAACACCUAUGGCGAAGGCAGCUCGCUGGGACGUUACUGACGCUGAGACGCGAAAGCGUGGGGAGCAAACAGG
rnacentral:rRNA from 1 species